rnacentral:snRNA from 1 species
GUGCUCACUUCGGCGGCACAUAUACUAAAAUUGGAACGAUACAGAGACGAUUAGCAUGGCCCCAGGGCAAGGAUGACAUGCAAAUUCAUAACGCAUUCCAUAUUAAA